AUUGAACGCUGGCGGCAUGCCUUACACAUGCAAGUCGAACGGCAGCACGGGAGCAAUCCUGGUGGCGAGUGGCGAACGGGUGAGUAAUAUAUCGGAACGUGCCCAGUCGUUGGGGAUAACGUAGCGAAAGCUACGCUAAUACCGCAUACGAUCUAUGGAUGAAAGCGGGGGAUCGCAAGACCUCGCGCGAUUGGAGACGGCCGAUAUCAGAUUAGGUAGUUGGUGAGGUAAAGGCUCACCAAGCCGACGAUCUGUAGCUGGUCUGAGAGGACGACCAGCCCACACUGGGACUGAGACACGGCCCAGACUCCUACGGGAGGCAGCAGUGGGGAAUUUUGGACAAUGGGCGCAAGCCUGAUCCAGCAAUGCCGCGUGCAGGAU
rnacentral:rRNA from 1 species